CAUUCAUUCAUUCAACAAAUACUGAGCACCUACUAUGUUCCUGGCCUAUUCUAAGGGUUGGGAAUACAAUGGCCAACAAGAAGUCCCUGCCCUCCUGGAACUGACUUUUCAGCUCUGAACCUCUGAGCGCCUCUCCACUGUUCCAGCACUGGACACCAGGCCUGUUACCCAGAAGGUAAUCAGAUCCUGUUUGAACACUUCCAGCUGUGGUCAAAUUGUCACCUCACAUAGCAUCCACUGGCAUGCUGGCAGCUUGUAGGAAGAGGAGUAGUAAUGGCCACUGAGACCAGAAGGUGGCACUUAGCUGGGAGGCUCUCCUUGGCCAGGGGGAGGUGAGAAGGCGUAGAGCACAGGCUGGCACCCAGGCUCUGAAACACAAAGCCCUUCAAGCGUGAUGGAGGGAGCUGCUUUAUUAUUAAACGGCAUUGUUCCCAAGGAAUGGCAACUCUCCACCUCUGGCUGAAAACACAACCCCCCUAGAGAAGGUAUCUCUUUCCAACUACUGUGCUUCUAACUUCAAUCUCCAACCUCAACUGUUUCCCAUCAAGACAAUUUUUCUUUUUUUUUUGGUAACGGUCUUACUUUCUCGUCCAGGCUGGCAUGCAGUGGCACAAUCAUGGCUCACUGUAGUCUUGACAUCCCUAGCUCAAGUGUCAUCUUCCCAUUCAGCCUCCUGAGUAGCUGGGACCACAAGCAUACACCACCAUGCUUGGCUUUUUU